UGUAAGCGUAUACCAAAGUUGUUGCAGUUAAAACGCUCGUAGUCGGAAUUUGACAGUUCCGGAAGUGUGCACGUCGUGUGCGCACUUUGCGGGGACUGCUUUUGUGGUCUUGCGUAGGAUGAGGCACUUUCAUUAGUGAACGUCCUCACGCAACCACUCUUUACUGUGAGAAAAUCAGAGUGCUCAAAGCAGGCAUUUGCCGUGAAUGUAUUAGCAUGGAAUAAUAGAAUAGGACUCGGUUCUAUUUUGUUGGUUUGUUGGGACUGAGUAAUGAUUAAGAGGGACAGUUGGGGGCAUUUGUAUUCCGGCGCUAGAGGUGAAAUUCUUAGAUUGCCGGAAAACAAACUGCUGCGAAAGCGUCUGCCAAGGAUGUUUUCAUUGA
rnacentral:rRNA from 1 species